rnacentral:tRNA from 1 species
AGUAAAGUGGACUACAGGUAAGUUAUCAGACUCAUAAUCUGAAGAAGAAGGUUCGAUUCCUUCCUUUACUA